AAACUUACCUGGCAGGGGAUACACCAUGAUCAGGAAGGUGGUUUUCCCAGGGCGAGGCUCACCCAUUGCACUUGGGGUGUGCUGACCCCUGCGAUUUCCCCAAAUGCGGGAAACUUGACAACUAAGUGACCUUGGAAGAUUAAUCUUGUAAUUACCCAAU